GAACAAUAGUGAUCCAAACAGACAUCGAGAAAGGUAGAAAAUAAAGAACAUUGAUGCACCAUCAAUAACUCACUCUGAGAUGUAAAGGCGAGAAGGAACAAGCACCCAAGCCCCACUGAUGAUCAUUGUUACAAGAUUUGAAUCCAAUAACAUCUUCACUACCUGCACCAAGGUGAAAUGCUUCAACUAAGGAUGUUUCUAGAACUUUGAAGAACGUUGCUAAAGAAAAUUGUAAGAAGGAAGCACAAUUCAGUCUUCUGUAGCAAACAAAAAAAAUGUACUGUACUUCAUACUGGCUGGAGAAGCCUCUGAAUAGAUUGCAGAAAAGCACCAAUGAUACCAAUAACUUGAAGUCUUUUUAGAAACAAUUGUCAAGAUUAACUGUUAAAAACAGGAGGUUCAACACUGGCUCCUUCAAUCAGGACUCCCUCUGAAAGUUAGAUAGGAAGAUGGACCCAAAAUUCAGAAAGGCCGCACAAGCAGAAGAAAAUUUACUCAAUGCAAUGCUUUGCCUCCUGUGUGCUGAUGGCAAACUGGCAGGAAGCAAGAGUUUAGAUGUGGUUAUGGUGCAGAAUUGCUUGCCUGACAUUGACUCCACUAGCAGCGUUCCUGAGACCAAGUUAACACCUACAGCCAACAUACCGCUUAUCCUAUCAGUCAAAUGAUAAGCAAGGGUCUCGGCCCAAAACGUCGGCUAUGCACUCUUCUACAGAGAUGCUGCCUAGCCUGCUGAGUUUCUCCGGGAUUUUGUGUGUGGCAGUUACGCUGUUAGAAACCCGUCACUUGGCAAAUGUAUUAACCAGCUCUAUCAUGCAAGACUGCUUAGAGAUAGUUGGUCAGUUAAGCAAUAAAAGCAAAACCUGCCCUGUUAAUACAGUCAAUUCCUUGUGAGCAAUGUUCCUGUAAUAAAUGACAAGCCUAUACCACUAGAUUGUUCAUUUGCCUUCUGUUCAAGAUGUCUCCCCUUCAGACUCUCAAUGAAUAGGCUGUACUUUGGAAAUACCAGGAAAUAGAGUCAUAGAAAAAUACAGCACAGAAACAGGCCCUUUGGCCCAUCUAGUCCACGCUGAAACUAUUUAAAUCACCUAUUUCAAUCAACCUGCUCUUUCAUCUAAUCUACAAAGAUGUAAAAUGCAAAGACCUGUCCUUAAGGUUGGUAACAGCUUGGAAAUGAAAGAAGAUGACAAAACCAUGAUUUGACCAGUGUAACCAUUAUACAUUCUUCAGGAGGCAUACAUGAUCUUGAAGGAUUGCCUUUCCAAAAGUCUUAAACUUGUGGGAAAACAUGAAGGUAUUGCAUUAGUUUCUAUCGCAGAACAGAAAAUUAGAGAGCCAGAAGAUUAUAAGGCUAGCAGGAAGGAGCUUACAAGUGAAAUUAGGAGAGCCAGAAGGGGCCAUGAGAAGAAUUAAGGAAACUCCAAGGUAUUCCACAAGUAUGUGAAGAGCACGAGGAUAAGACGUGAGAGAAUAGGACCAAUCAAGUGUGACAGUGGAAAAGUGUGUACGGAACCAGAGGAGGUAGCAGAGGUACUUAAUGAAUACUUUGCUUCAGUACUCACUACGGAAAAGGAUCUUGGCCAUUGUAGGGAUGACUCACAGCGGAUUGAAAAGCUUGAGCAUAUAGACAUUAAGAAAGAGGAUGUGCUGGAGCUUUUGGAAAGCAUCAAGUUGAAUAAGUCUCCAGGACCAAAUGAGAUGUACCCCAGGCUACUGUGGGAGCAAGGAAGGAGAUUGCUAAGCCUCUGGCAAUGAUCUUUGCAUCAUCAAUGGGAAUGGAAGAGGAUGGCACUCAAAUUCCAGUAGAUGAUUAUCCAGAUAAACAAGUUCCCAAAGAUGAUUUGAGCUCUGGAUCCUCCAGUGGAAAAAUCAUAAAUGCACCAAAUCUUGAAGAGCAAAUGCAGAGAACAAUCCUGAUCGAGAAGUUGCAGAGCCUGGGCCUCUGCAACUGGAUCCUCAACUUCCUAACUGUAAGACCACAGUCUGUGCAAAUUUGUGAUAACAUAUCCUCCUUGCUAACAAAAUAAACUGGCACAAUGCGGGGGUGUGUGCUUAGCUCACUGCUCUACUCUCUAUUUACACAUGACUGUGUGGCUCGGCAUAGCUCAAAUACCCUCUAUAAAUUUGCUGAUGAUACAACCAUUGCUGAUAGAAUCUCAGAUGGUGACAAGAGGGCAUACAGGAGUGAGAUAUGCCAAGUAGUGGAGUGGUGCCAUAGCAACAACAACAUAACACUCAAUGUCAGUAAGACGAAAGAGCUAAUUGUGGACUUCAGGAAGGGUAAGACAAAGGAAUUCAUACUAAUCCUCACAGAGGGAUCAGAAGUGGAAAGAGUCAGCAGUUUCAUGUUCCAGUGUGUCAAGAUCUCUGGGGAUCUAACCUGGUCCCAACAUAUCUAUGUAGCUAUAAAGAAGGCAAGACAGCGGCUAUACUUUAUUACUUUAUUAUACUUUAUACUGUAGCGAUGUGCUACACACAGCGCUGAAAUAACGACACGCAGUCGUUAAGUCAUUUUGAGACUAGUUUAUUCAAAACUUCGUGGCGCUGGCAUUUAAAUCCCUGGAGCCUGCCCUCUCCGGACGGAAAUGACGUCAGAGGUACAUUACCAAAGUCUCCCCCUGCGAGCUGGUGAUUUGUGAGCCAGUUCACCUGCACAGAAAGUGGGUCGCCACAUAACCCCCCCCCCCCCCAGAACCAGCAAUACACCCCCCAAUGUCCACAGUCUGGAUCAGCCUCUGUUUGGGAGGUCUGCCUCUGUGCCGCAGUGCCUGAAUCUCGACCAGCUGCGCCAAGUCCAUAUGGGCUGGUUUGAGUCGGUCCACCGUGAAAACCUCCUCUUUCUCCCCCCAAUGUCCAGAAUGUAUGUGGACCCGUUGUUGUUGAUCACCUUGAACGUCCCCUCGUACGGCCGCUGUAGCGGUACCCAGUGUCCGCCCCUUCGUACAAACACAAACUUACAGGUCUGCAGGUCUUUGGGUACAUGGGUCAGGGUCCAUCCGUGCUGUGAAGUCGGUACGGGGGCCAGGCUGCCGAGCCUUUCGCGUAGUCUGUCCAAGACUGCUGCGGGUUCUUCCUCUUGCCCCCUUGGGGCUGGUAUGAACUCUCCCGGGAUGGCCAGGGGUGCACCAUACACCAACUCAGCCGAUGAGGCGUGCAGAUCCUCUUUGGGCACUGUGCGAAUUCCAAGCAGGACCCAGGGAAGCUCAUCCACCCAGUUAGGUCCUCUCAGGUGGGCCAUGAGAGCCAACUUCAAGAGACGGUGGAAGCGUUCCACUAGUCCGUUCGACUGUGGGUGUUAGGCAGUUGUGUGGUGCAGCUGCGUUCCCAACAGGCUGGCCACAUCCGACCACAGGCUGGAGGUGAACUGGGUGCCUCUGUCGGAGGUAAUGUGGGCCGGUACCCCGAAGCGUGCUACCCAGGUUGCGAUCAGUGGUCGGGCGCAGGAAUCCGCAGAUGUGUCGGUGUCUGGAAAGUCUUGGCAUGUACCAGUCUUUUCCCUUGCAAGUCGACCAGCAGGCUGUGAGCUCGCAAGAAGUCCACCCCCAGGAGUGGUUGGGCCACCACAGCCAGUGUGAAGUCCCAUGUGAACCAGCCGAACUGCAGCUGCACUGUGCGGGUGCCGUAGGUCCGUAUCGUGCUGCUGUUUGCGGCCCUCGGGGUGGGUCCUGGCUUCCUGUUGUGGGUGUCAUACCCCGUCGGGGGCAAGACGCUGAUUUCCGCUCCGGUGUCGACCAAGAAGCGGCAUCCCGACUGUUUGUCCCAGACAUACAAGAGGCUGUCCUGGUGGCCAACCGUCAUAGUCAUUAACGGCAGCUGGCCCUGGCCCUUGCAGGGCGGGCAACAACGGCGGGCUUCUGUGCUCCACCGCUGGUGGUAGAAACACCACUGUUCACUGUCCUCCUCACUCCUGCCUCUGUAUUGUGUGCGCCCCUUGCCGGGCCUGGUCUGGUCCGCUGUUGGGCGCGAGGCCUGGUAAUCUGACCAACGGAUGCCACGCUCUCCCUCUUGGCUUUCCACAGCAUGUCUGUCCAGGCCGCCACCUUCCGGGGGUCACUGAAAUCUGCGUCGGCCA